rnacentral:rRNA from 1 species
AGUGAACGCUGGCGGUAGGCCUAACACAUGCAAGUCGAACGGCAGCACAGUAAGAGCUUGCUCUUACGGGUGGCGAGUGGCGGACGGGUGAGGAAUACAUCGGAAUCUACUUUUUCGUGGGGGAUAACGUAGGGAAACUUACGCUAAUACCGCAUACGACCUACGGGUGAAAGCAGGGGAUCUUCGGACCUUGCGCGAUUGAAUGAGCCGAUGUCGGAUUAGAUAGUUGGCGGGGUAAAGGCCCACCAAGGCGACGAUCCGUAGCUGGUCUGAGAGGAUGAUCAGCGACACUGGAACUGAGACACGGUCCAGACUCCUACGGGAGGCAGCAGUGGGGAAUAUUGGACAAUGGGCGCAAGCCUGAUCCAGCCAUGCCGCGUGGGUGAAGAAGGCCUUCGGGUUGUAAAGCCCUUUUGUUGGGAAAGAAAAGCAGCAGGUUAAUACCCCGCUGUUCUGACGGUACCCAAAGAAUAAGCACCGGCUAACUUCGUG